rnacentral:rRNA from 1 species
UACGUAGGUGGCGAGCGUUGUCCGGAAUUACUGGGUGUAAAGGGCGUGUAGGCGGGAAUACAAGUCAGAUGUGAAAUUCCAGAGCUCAACUCUGGCGCUGCAUCUGAAACUGUGUUUCUUGAGUACUGGAGAGGAAAGCGGUAUUCCUAGUGUAGCGGUGAAAUGCGUAGAUAUUAGGAGGAACACCAGUGGCGAAGGCGGCUUUCUGGACAGUAACUGACGCUGAGGCGCGAAAGCGUGGGGAGCAAACAGG